rnacentral:rRNA from 1 species
CCUACGGGAGGCAGCAGUGAGGAAUAUUGGUCAAUGGCCGAGAGGCUGAACCAGCCAAGUCGCGUGAGGGAAGACGGCCCUACGGGUUGUAAACCUCUUUUGUCGGGGAGCAAAGCGAACCACGUGUGGUUCAUUGAGGGUACCCCAAGAAUAAGCAUCGGCUAACUCCGUGCCAGCAGCCGCGGUAAUACGUAGGGAGCGAGCGUUAUCCGGAAUUAUUGGGCGUAAAGGGUGCGUAGAUGGCAUAGUAAGUCUUUUGUAAAAAUGCUGGGCUCAACCCAGUAGGGCAAAAGAUACUGCAAAGCUAGAGUAUGCGAGAGGCAAGUGGAACUACAUGUGUAGCGGGAAAAUGCGUAAAUAGAUGUAAGAACACCAGUGGCGAAGGCGGCUUGCUGGGUCGAUACUGACAUUGAGGCACGAAAGCGUGGGGAGCGAACAGGAUUAGAUACCCUUGUAGUC